rnacentral:rRNA from 1 species
GUUAGGAAUAUUGGACAAUGGGCGCAAGCCUGAUCCAGCCAUGCCGCGUGAGUGAUGAAGGCCUUCGGGUUGUAAAGCUCUUUAGCCGAUGAUUAUAAUGACUGUAGUCGGAAAAUAAGCCCCGGCUAACUUCGUGCCAGCAGCCGCGGUAAUACGAAGGGGGCGAGCGUUAUUCGGAAUCACUGGGCGUAAAGCGUGCGUAGGCGGCUUUGCAAGUUGGGAGUGAAAGCCCAGGGCUCAACCCUGGAAUUGCUCUCAAAACUGCAAGGCUCGAAUUCAGGAGAGGAUAGCGGAAUUGUCAGUGUAGCAGUGAAAUGCGUAGAUAUUGACAGGAACACCAGUGGCGUAAGCGGCUAUCUGGAACGAUAUUGACGCUGAGGCACGAAAGCGUGGGGAUCAAACAGGAUUAGAUACCCCGGUAGUCC